AGGGCAAUUGCUGGGUCAAAUGGUGAUUCCAUUCCCAGCUUUCCCAGAAAUCUCCAUACUGCUUUCCAAAUUGGCCACACCAAUUUGCAGUCCCACCAGCAAU
rnacentral:pre_miRNA from 1 species